rnacentral:rRNA from 2 species
UGGGGGAUAUUGCGCAAUGGGGGCAACCCUGACGCAGCAACGCCGCGUGAAGGAUGAAGGUUUUCGGAUUGUAAACUUCUUUUAUUAAGGACGAAACUUGACGGUACUUAAUGAAUAAGCUCCGGCUAACUACGUGCCAGCAGCCGCGGUAAUACGUAGGGAGCAAGCGUUGUCCGGAUUUACUGGGUGUGAAGGGUGCGUAGGCGGCUUUGCAAGUCAGAUGUGAAAUCUAUGGGCUCAACCCAUAAACUGCAUUUGAAACUGUAGAGCUUGAGUGAAGUAGAGGCAGGCGGAAUUCCCCGUGUAGCGGUGAAAUGCGUAGAGAUGGGGAGGAACACCAGUGGCGAAGGCGGCCUGCUGGGCUUUAACUGACGCUGAGGCACGAAAGCGUGGGUAGCAAACAGGAUUAGAUACCCUGGUAGUCCACGCUGUAAACGAUGAUUACUAGGUGUGGGGGGUCUGACCCCUUCCGUGCCGGAGUUAACACAAUAAGUAAUCCACCUGGGGAGUACGGCCGCAAGGUUGAAACUCAAAGGAAUUGACGGGGGCCCGCACAAGCAGUGGAGUAUGUGGUUUAAUUCGAAGCAACGCGAAGAACCUUACCAGGUCUUGACAUCCAACUAACGAAGUAGAGAUACAUUAGGUGCCCUUCGGGGAAAGUUGAGACAGGUGGUGCACGGUUGUCGUCAGCUCGUGUCGUGAGAUGUUGGGUUAAGUCCCGCAACGAGCGCAACCCUUGCUAUUAGUUGCUACGCAAGAGCACUCUAAUAGGACUGCCGUUGACAAAACGGAGGAAGGUGGGGACGACGUCAAAUCAUCAUGCCCCUUAUGACCUGGGCUACACACGUACUACAAUGGAUGUUAACAGAGGGAAGCAAGACAGCGAUGUGGAGCAAACCCCUAAAAACAUUCUCAGUUCAGAUUGCAGGCUGCAACCCGCCUGCAUGAAGAUGGAAUUGCUAGUAAUCGCGGAUCAGCAUGCCGCGGUGAAUACGUUCCC